rnacentral:lncRNA from 1 species
AAAGCAAGUCCACCGACCGGUCUCAAAUUGAAACAUCAUUGAUCAUAAGUGUAUCCCACAACAACCCUUCAAACUUUCUUGUUUGAAAACCUAUCUAGUAGCAGGGCUAAGCAUCGCUACGCUGUUUUAAAAUAAAACAGGUGUCAAGGACAGGAUAACAGGUAACAAGGUAGUAAAUGCAGCAAGUAGGUUAACCCAAUUCUCAACUACCUAAUGCAGCAUUUUCAAUUCAUAAGAGAUAAAAGAUUUAAAACAUUCAAGGAGGGGUUAAUGCAUCCGGGGCUUGCCUUGGUUGCAGGGCAGAGAGGGACCCUCGGAGACUUCCCAAGUCUCGGAUCCGACUUCCUCGAACGGAGCACCGACCUCGGGGUUCGGUUCAACGGGCGCUCCUUCGGUCACGGACACUAUACGCAAAAUGAUGAAUGCUCAUGAUAUGCGUAUGACAAAUAUGCAAGAAGGACCAAAUCGAGUACAACUCGCCUUCUUGAUGCAAUACAGAAUUAUCACUAAAUAAAGUUGUUUAACAUCUUAAUGUUUUUACCCAAGAGGUUGCAUCUGUAAAAUAAAAUCUCUUUUAAUUCAUAAUUAACCUGAAUUAACUAAUUAUUAAUCCUAUUUACCUUAAUUAAUUCUUAAUCAACUGCUAAUGACAGUAAUUAAGCAUUAAGGCUAAACAAUAAUUAAAUGCCAAAGGUCAUUAGGGUUAAUGACCUCAGGUCAUCACACAAUCCCCAAAAUCACUCAACCCUAAUUAUGAGGAUUUCACUAAUCACUAUCUAAUUAUUUUGGAAUUAUUAUUUAAAUACUAAAUAAGGAUUUAUUAAUAUUUUAAUUAAACAUUAUCCAAAUGCCACCAAAUUUUGUGUGGAGCCAGGGAAUAAUAGUCAGAGGCUCCCCACAAUUUUUGGUGAUUUUUGGACAUACAAAUAAAUUAUUAAAAUUCCUAGAAUUUGUAUUCACUAAUUAACAGAGCAAAUUUUUACAGACAUGUAAACUACCAGAAAACAGAAUCCACUAUUUUUCUUGUGUUCUACCCACUUUAUGGAACCUACACAAAAACUUUCAUCAUUUUUGGAUUAGCACACAAUUUAUCUCAUAAUUUCAAACAUCAAACAAAAAUUGCAUAAAAAGAAAAAAAGAAAAAGAUCUUUGCGCAGUGGGCGGCCUGGAUUUUGGCCCGCAGGCCGGCCCAUGCGCGCUCGGCCCGCGCACGCACUGCGCGCGCUGCCCCUCCCCUCAUGUGGACACUGACGAGCGGGCCUCGCUCGUCAGGCUCUCCCUUCCCCUCUCUCUGCGGAAGCUGACAGGCGGGUCCCGCCCGUCAGUUUCGCCUCCCUCGUUCACGGCGGUGCUGCCGCCGCUCCGGCGACCGUUAGCGAGUUCCUCGGCCCCCGCGCGCGUGCGCACCAGCACCGCGUCAACCCUGCGACUCCAAAGCUACCACUCACGGAUGCUCUCCCGCUCUCUUUUCACCUCAACCACACAAAUGGUGGACGGCCGCGUCGGUCGCCGAGGACCGGGC